AGGAUUAUAGUUUAUAAAAACAUUUGAUUUGCAUUCAAAAAUUAAUGAAUUUCAUUUUAUCUUA
rnacentral:tRNA from 1 species